CUCAACGGUCAAGGUCAUGCCCGGCGGCCAGGCUGGGAUCGCACCCAGCGGACUCCCGGAUUUGGCCGGGCCGAGGCGCCAGGGCGUGCUAGGCGCUCGCCUCGCAAGGGCACCCUCGGAAACAUUAGCGUGGCAGCGGGUGGACGCCACGGUCUCCUUCCCGACCUCUGUCCUGCGCGCACGCCACAGCCCCAAUUCCCGGGACAGGCCGGCCCAGAGAACGGGGAGCAGGGAGAGUGGCCUCACGGACCUCAUCAACCUCCUUCAUCGUUCACAACAAGCAUUGGAAUGGCCUCGGCUGACAGCUUCACCAGAGAGGUACGAAGUCCACCCCGAGCGAGCACAUUGCAGCACCAGGAGCGGCCCAUGGAGAGAUGGAGCGCCCAUCUGUGGGGAGCCUUGAAUGUCUCAGAAGCACGGAGACCCUGAGGGCCUUGAGUCAGCCUCCUGAGCUUAUUUGGGAGGGGCCAAAGCCUUGUGUUUCUAAGUCUUCAGCCUGGAUGGAUGCCUCCAACCCUAAUCAGCACUGAUGGUCUUUUGAGAGACAGCCUCGGAUCCCUGCCUCUGCGCUACGCGACGCUUCCGCUGCUGUGAGCCGGGGAAACUGGAGCAAGUAGCAGGCCUCGGGUCUGCCCUAGUGGCUCUCGAGAGCUAAUGAGGAAGGAAAAAGACGUGCAUAGACCAAGAAACGAAACAAGAGACAGGCUUUGGUGGAAAUGCUGAGACCCUGCGGCUUGGACCCGAAGGCCCUUAGAGAUGUGAUGCAAGGCUCCCAACGCCUGGGAAAAGCAGGAGUGUGGAGGAGGCUGGGGCGGCAGGCAGGAGGCUGCGGACCUGGAAUGGAAGAGCAGCAGGCUGCGGAUGACCCGGUCGGGGGAGGUUUCAGGGCUCACUCUGAGUUAUCGGGAAGGCAUCGGUGAGUUGAGAACACAGAGAUCGCUCCUGUCUCCAUGGGAGGACCCAGGAGAACACGAGUUUCCCCAGACACAGAAUCUGCCGGUGCCUCGACCUUGGACUUGCCGGCAACCAGAACUCUGAGAAAUCAACUUUCCCUCCUGACUGCAUCACCCAGUCUCCAAUAUUUGGUUAUGGCAGUGGACUAAGAAGCUCGCAGCCCUGUGUGUGAGGCGGGCACCACACUCCAGAACAUGGCCAUCUCUGGGGUCCGCGAACGCAGCUUUGUCUGGGACCCCCAAGACACCCCUGAGUUUGAGGGUACUUUCUCUCCUGCGGGAAAUUAAUUGCAUACUGAUUCCACAGUCCGCCAUCCCUACAUUUUGCUCUUUGCAAAGUAAUUUUGUAGCUCCUCACCCAAGAAGUAGAAUCUGUCUCCCCAUCCCUAUAAAUCUUUGGGACUUGCUGUAACCCAUGGAAAGUGUAGAAGAAAUUAGGAGCUAGUCCUUAGCCUAAGCUGCCAGAGAAUUAUUUUGUUUCUGUCUCCUGAAACCCUGCCACUGUCAUGAGCAGAAACCCAAGGUAACGAACAGAGAAGGAGCAGGGCCUGCCCAGCCCAGGCGCCCCCAGCCAGGCCAUUACCAGGUGAGACAGCCACCUGCCCUCAGGUACCUGCUGAGCUUGGCCUGGCUGCUCCAAUCCCAAUCCAGCUCUCUGCUAUGGCCUGGGAAAGCAGUAGAAGAUGGCCCAGGCCGGCGCCGCGGCUCACUAGGCUAAUCCUCCGCCUAGCGGCGCCGGCACACCAGGUUCUAGUCCCGGUCGGGGCGCCGGAUUCUGUCCCGGUUGCCCCUCUUCCAGGCCAGCUCUCUGCUGUGGCCAGGGAGUGCAGUAGAGGAUGGCCCAGGUGCUUGGGCCCUGCACCCCAUGGGAGACCAGGACAAGCACCUGGCUCCUGGCUCCUGCCAUCGGAUCAGCGCGGUGCGCCGGCCGCAGCGCGCCGUCCGUGGCGGCCAUUGGAGGGUGAACCAACGGCAAAGGAAGACCUUUCUCUCUGUCUCUCUCUCUCACUGUCCACUCUGCCUGUCAAAAAAAAAAAAAAAGAAGAUGGCCCAAAUGCUUGGGUCCCUGCACCCACAUGGGAGACCCGGAAGAAACUAUUGGCUCCUGGCUUCAGAUCGGCCCAUUUCUGGCAGUUGUGGCCAUCUGGGAAAUGAACCAGUGGAUGAAAAACCUCUCUCUCUACCUCUACCUCUGCCUCUGCCUCUCUGUAAUUCUGCUUUUCAGAUAAAUAAAUAUUUUUUAAAAGAUAAAGAAAGAAAAACAAGGAAACAAUUUUUGGUUAACCAGAAAAAAAAUUUUAAUUCCUAGAAGAUAGAAAGCAGUGAUAUCAAACUGAAGGAAAAGGACAAAGCAAACUGAGACACAGAUGGAGCCAACAUGUUCCCUAGGGGAGUCCUGGAGAAGGUUCGAGCAAUACUGGGCCAUGAGGGGCGAGUGUUGUGGUGCAGUGGGUUAACCUGCGCUUGGGACGCCUGCAUCCCUAGAGAGAGCCUUGCCUCAAGUCCCAGCUCUGUUUGCAAUCCAGCUGCUUGCUAAUGCAUAGCCUGAGAGGCAGUAGAUGAUGGCUCAAGUACUUGGGUUCCUGUCACCCACAUGGGAGACCCAGAUAGAAUUCCUGGCUCUGGCUCUGAUCUGGCCCAGCCCUGGCUGUUGCAGGUAUUUGGGGUGUGAACCAGUAGGUGGGAGAU